rnacentral:lncRNA from 1 species
UUUGUAAUAAUUUAAGUUAUCAUAUACUUAGACUAAAUAACAUAUAAAUUUUACCGUAUGAUAAUAGCAUUAAAUUGACGUAAAUUCCAUAUUUUUCGAAUUGGUGCCUUAGCGGGCUGAUAUGAAAAGUUUAUCACAUGCUUCGAUUGUUAUCACAUGCCUUUCCGUAACGUUAUCACAUGGCAUUCCGGUAAUACUCGGUCA